AACUGCCGGUGAUCGGCCGGAGGAAGGUGUGGAUGACGUCAAGUCCUCAUGGCCCUUACGGGUUGGGCUACACACGUGCUACAAUGGUAGUGACAAUGGGUUAAUCCCAAAAAGCUAUCUCAAUUCGAAGGUGGGGUCUGCAACUCGACCCCAUGAAGUCGGAAUCGCUAGUAAUCGCGUAACAGCAUGACGCGGUGAAUACGUUCCCGGGCCUUGUACACACCGCCCGU
rnacentral:rRNA from 1 species